UUGAAUCCGGAUAUCUUUUUCAAUUACAAUCGUGAUUGAUAUUUUCAUUUAAAAAAUUAAUUGAUUCAGUAUUUUUUUCAAUCGAAUCUUAAAAAGUUUAUAAGUAAAUUGUGAUUGAAAUUUUUAUAUUUUUCAAUUAAACAACUACGGUCUAAACCACUAUUUUUCCUAGCCAAAUCAUUCGUUCGUUCGCCAAUUCAUUGAAAUGGGAGGACCCAAACAUAAGCCUUAAAUUCGUGUUCUAGGAGUUUUACAUGCAUAUGUGCGUGCAGGUGUUUAGAGCGACUUCACAAUUUAUAUUUGACGUUUCGUUUGACACUUCUCCAUUGCAUUAACAGAUUAGUUAUUCGCAGGCUUCGCAGACGGUGAUAGUAGUCCGUACGUGUAUGUCUGUUUGAAAAUUUAUUUGCAAUUGUGUUAACUUUUUUUGAAGGCAGCACAAUCGGAGUCUGUCUGUCCAAAGUUAAAAAGGUGAUCAACCGUCCGCAUAGGGUUCUUUACAUGGGCAUGUCGGUGUGAGCAUGCCAGUUUUCUGCGCCUCCUACGAUGACUGGAGCGGUGAUGGUGACUGGACGUGUUAGAUGACCGACUGGAUGGUGAUAUAGUUGUUGAUUUUAUUUGUAUUUCGUAGGUUUAAUUAAUUCACAAGCUUAUAGGUAUUUAUCAUGAGUUCACAGAUAUUUAGGUUGUUAGCCUUUUGUUUUUUUUCCUUCGGUUUUUUUGUUUCAAAUAUGCAGCCAUCAAGUUUUAUUUCUACGAUAGCUUGUAAGACUUCAGAUUAUUUUUUUUUUUCAAUUAGUUUGUAAGCUUUAUAUUUUCACUUUAGCUUGUAAGGUAUUAGGUUAUUUUUCUUUUUAAUUCACGCUUAGUUUUUUAAGCUCGUGUUCAAGUUAUUUAUCAAACUUUAGGUUAUUUUGCCGUGUACACCAGUGGCGUCAUUCACCGUCCAUUAGAGGCACCAAAUAUAAUUCAUAAAAAAACUAAA
rnacentral:sRNA from 1 species